ACAUUUCAAAACCAUGUUGCUCUUUAUUUCAAAGAUGACAAAUGUGGAAACUGUAACAUAAUUAAUAUUCAGUGGACAGGUUUUUUCCAAAUGUACACUUUAUUUUAAACAAAAGUACAAAAACAAACAUCAGGUAUUUACAAUACUUGCAUGGCAAUGUUCACUUUCUUUGGUCAUUCUUCCAAUUUGAUGGUUUUACAAACAGCAGCUUGGAGGUGUGAGACUAUCACAUGCUGUGAAUCCAGUGUUCAACCUGACGCUGAGCCAACUACGGAGGACUCGCAACUUAAUUACACCUUAGUAAUGUCUGCAAGCAUUUUAUCGACUGUUUCAAUCCAAGCUAUGAAUUACAUGGACAUUAUUGAAUUUGCCUACCUGGACAUUUUUUACAAUAUAAAUAGCAAAAAGAAAAUUAAAUUCACAUACUUCACAAUAACAUCCCAGUCUUGAUACAUUUUCAAAUUGAGUAAACGCUCUUAAAAACGACCAAAUUUGUGAAAUGUACAGCCGCGCGUAUUCCAUCGUAUUCUACACAAAUCUGACACGAAAGCAGGAACUAUAAUGCACAUCACAAACUGAAGCAACUACAGGUUGGUAUUUAAAAGAAGGCAAAUUUAUCGUGACGGCUACUUUAAGAUAAACACCUGGUCCUCUCUGCGUGCUCCGUCCCAAAAAUGCUACACAAUAAACAAUCAUACACUAAUGUGGAACAAAUAGAGAAUUCACUUACAGCCAUGAAACUUUCUUUCACUACAACAGGCUAAAUGAGUUAUUAUGCGUGAAAACAAAAUGUAAAACAAUCUGUACAGCCAACAGCAUGAGUACCCUAAACUUUUGCUCAAUAAUCUACAUGCCUGUCUUACACAGUGGUUAUGUGUCGAAUGUACAGUACAUUUGAAAAAAAUAAAUGGGAAAAAUAAACUGAGUUUCUUCUUUUUUUUUAAUCUUGAUUACUUUGCAAAGAGGUACACACGAUCAAAGAACAAAAAAAAAAUCAAAAAUCAUGUAAUGCCAAAGAACUCGCUCACUUCCUGCAGUGUAAAUCAUAUCACCAUCUGCAACUAAUGUCGAGUUUAACCCCCAUAACCCGUAAACCUUUCAGGAAUUUCCUCUCUAGUUCAACAUUAUUUUACGGCUGAGGAGACAAACUGGAAGAAAUGCUCCGAUAAACACAUUUAGCACACGGAUGUUGAAGGCAGAGGCGGUUCGACUGUGGCGACGUGAAGCUAAAAAGCGGUGGCGGUGAUGUCCCUUCGGAGGGCCGAACGGUCAGACUAAUGCAGGCCUACACAUCCUUACGGCAAAGGCAACUGGUCUAGUAGCAAUUCUACUUGCAUCAACUAGCAAAAUGAAAAAAAAAAAGAUCUGCGUUAUCUCAGUUUCCCAAAUUCCAUUCCAGUCCUAAUAGUGGACAAGUUUACACGUGUAUCAGUAGUGCAGACAAGUUAUGUAUUCCGCAUUCAGUAUGCAUUCCGUCUUUCUUUCUUUUUUUUCUUCUUUUUCUUGGAAUGGAGUGAUGGUUUGAAGCGUUGAGGGGGGGGUAUUUGGAUAUGCUUUUUUGUCAAAUCUUCCCUGAAACCAAAUCCAAAGCGUCUUCGUCCCAAUGUACACUUGUUUUUUUGUGUAAAAGUUUCACGUUCCAACUGGAAAGACAAGGAAUUAAGUCAGAU
ensembl:lncRNA